GAAGAUGUCUACUGGAGAAGAGACAAAACCUUUCAACAAAGAAGAACCCAUCCAGAGGGGUUCCCACUUGUUCAGGGGUCAAUCUUUUUUUUUUUCUGAUAUCGGAGAUCUUUUUUGGCCAAUGUUAGUUGGACCUAUGUGCUCAUUCUGGUACCCCUGACCUUGUGGUUCUGUUUUGGGACGCUCCCUAACCAGGACUACGACAUUAAAGAUUCUCCUGUUGUGUCUGACUUUAAGUACAGCUGGUUGGGUGCCUCUGUGUUUGUCUCUUCCCGGUCCCCAGUCGUUCCCCACGCAUCCUGGCCGGGUUCUGCUGCACUGUUAAGCCAGGUUGCUUGCUAAGGAUGAGGGUUAACUCCAAAGCCGUGAACUCUUUAAAGAAACAACCUAAUGGAAUUGGUUUUCCUCCCUCCUUCUUUCCUUUUUACCGAUCGGUCUCAAAUGA